rnacentral:rRNA from 1 species
UAGGGAAUCUUCCGCAAUGGACGCAAGUCUGACGGAGCAACGCCGCGUGAGUGAAGAAGGAUUUCGGUUCGUAAAACUCUGUUGUUAGAGAAGAACAGCGCAUAGAGUAACUGUUAUGCGUGUGACGGUAUCUAACCAGAAAGCCACGGCUAACUACGUGCCAGCAGCCGCGGUAAUACGUAGGUGGCAAGCGUUGUCCGGAUUUAUUGGGCGUAAAGCGAGCGCAGGCGGUUAGAUAAGUCUGAAGUUAAAGGCAGUGGCUCAACCAUUGUAGGCUUUGGAAACUGUUUAACUUGAGUGCAGAAGGGGAGAGUGGAAUUCCAUGUGUAGCGGUGAAAUGCGUAGAUAUAUGGAGGAACACCAGUAGCGAAGGCGACUCUCUAGUCUGUAACUGACGCUGAGGCUCGAAAGCGUGGGUAGCAAACAGG